AUGUGUCUAGUUGGUAAGCAUCAAGCUCCCUCUCAACCAUCUACCGCGAGAGUUCCUUUAAUUAUCGUUUUGUUUGAUAAUCAUGUUAAGAAUAUUGUCAAUGACAUGCUUAUCAAUUAUUUAUUGAGCUGUAUUAUGGAUUCUGGACCAGUUAACUGCACAUGUGACCGGCUAACGUUAGCAUCAUUCUAGCUAGGUAGCUACAUCUGAUAGCCACGUGUUGGACUAUUUCCAAGCCAUCUUCUCCUGUAGACCAACUCUACUUUACAACGUCCAUCAAUGCAUGGGCCCUCUCCUGUGAUGUCUUUGCACUGGGCUCUGAAACCAUGUGGAUAACGUGCCUCUCUGGACUUGACAAUCCGGAGACUGAGGAGACUAGCUACAGGUGUUAGCCUAGCCUAGUGGCGCCUCAUGGCAUCUCACUAACACGCCGACCUUCUCCUUGUCUUGCAGGAAGUGGAUCAGGCCACCAAGGAUCUCUGAGGUUAGUAUGAAUGUUUGGUUUUACGGGAGUAAGCUUAUAUUAUUAUUUUCUUAUGAUGUCUUUGCACUGGGCUCUGAAACUCUGUGGAUAGCGUGCCUCUCUGGACUUGACAAUCCAGAGACUGAGGAUAACAUGGAUGCAGUGACUUGGCCUUACGUACCUCAUGGAUGAUUAUUAACGUGCUUUUUCUUCGUCUUGCAGGACGUGUGACCUAGUGCCAUGAGCUGACUGUAAACAUCAGAUGCUGUAUCUUCCUCAAUGGCGCCAUCUAGUGAGUGAUCGCUGAAAGUACAUCCAAAUAAUAUCGCGUAUUUUGUUUAUCCAAAUAAUGCCAAUAUUUCUUUAAAUAAAACUAUCUUUGUAACUAAUGUGUCUUUUAUUACGGGAGGGGCAAUGUAUUUCUAUCAACACUUGAGUAAUAUUUAGAAACUUACAAUUAUUUAAUUACAUCUCUCCUCCAUUGACCAUAAAGGGUUACGCACAGAGCAUUGUUGUCUUGACUAAUGUCAGACAAUACGCAGGCCUAGACAAUAAAAUCUCUGCUCAAACACAAUUAAAAUAUCAAUCUGCUGAAAUGAAAAAGCAAUCAAUGCAGGCACCUACCCAAGCUGUCCAUGCUUCUUCUGUAGCGCCGGACAGCCAUCAGGUUGCCAUACAUAAUAACUUUCACUGACGGUCGCUGUUUGGUUCCUUAAUACCUUUCAGCAACAUAUAGGGGAAGAACAAAGUUCUGAGGUCUGUUUUACGUUGAAGUUUGAUUAGCUUUUAGUUAUGCUGAAUCUCAAAGUAACCAAGAUUCUGUCAUGUCAGAUUAUGAAUUAUCAAUUGAAGUUUGAACUAAUUAAAAAUCAUUUGCCAUAAUUUUAUUUGGGCUAUGAACGGUUGGCUUCCGUGAGGGCAUUAUCGAAUGUUUACGAGCUAUUAUUUGGUCGAAAUCAAUGAAGAUUACAUCAUAAAAAAAUAAUUCAGUGUAAUAUGAACUGAAUAUUCAGCUACACUACAGAAACACUCAGUUUUGCUGAAAUGUUUCUGAACGUCUGGGAAUAUCUGGAUGAUUCCGAUUUAGCAAGACAGUUCAAUUGUGUAGGGAACAUGGUUUGCAAGGAUCCUGUGUGUAAAGUUCGGCUGAAAGAAACCCAGGCUGAAAAUGUAGGAAUGAUAACGCUAUACAUUGUUAUACCACUAGACACUAUUUUCAAAUUUGCUUCUUGACACAUUUCAGCAGGAUUGAAUAGAUGGUGAUGACUUGUUUCUUCAUCUUUAUUAUAAUUCUAA